CCUACGGGAGGCAGCAGUAAGGAAUAUUGGACAAUGCUCGCAAGAGUGAUCCAGCCAUGCCGCGUGCAGGAAGAAUGCCCUAUGGGUAGUAAACUGCUUUUGAACUAGAGAAAAUCCCAGUACGUGUACUGGGCUGAUAGUAUAGUUAGAAUAAGCAUCGGCUAACUUCGUGCCAGCAGCCGCGGUAAGACGAAGGAUGCAAGCGUUAUCCGGAUUCAUUGGGUUUAAAGGGAGCGUAGGUGGACUGAUAAGUCAGUGGUGAAAUCUCCGAGCUUAACUCGGAAAUUGCCAUUGAUACUGUUGGUCUUGAGUACAGUUGCUGUGGGCGGAAUAUGACAUGUAGUGGUGAAAAUACAUAGAGAUGUCAUAGAACACCGAUUGCGAAGGCAGCUCACAAAGCUGUAACUGACACUGAGGCUCGAAAGUGCGGGGAUCAAACAGGAUUAGAUACCCUGGUAGUCCGCACCGUAAACGAUGAUUACUCGCUGCUAGGGGGCAACCUUUAGUGGCUUAGCGAAAGCGAUAAGUAAUCCACCUGGGAGUACGCCGGCAACGGUGAAACUUAAAGGAAUUAGACGGCUUGGAGAGNGCGAGGCGACGACGAGGGAGGAGG
rnacentral:rRNA from 1 species